rnacentral:rRNA from 1 species
AUGAAAAUGCAGCUCGGGGUGGACAUGAAUUGCAAUUGGGUGCCGACGCUCACAAUCGCGAGUCUUGUGGCAGACAUGCAAUUGCAGUCGACAUGGCCCGCAUGCAGUUGCAACUCAGGGAAUGGGCAUGCAACUGGCACCAAAAAAUGCAUCCUUGUCGUCACUCCGCCGGCGGCGGCACACAAGACAAGCUAUAACCCAUAUGAAAAUGCAGCCAGGGAUGGACAUGAAUUGCAGUCGGGUGCCGACACUUGCAAUUGCGAGUCUAGUGACAAACAUGCAAUUGCAGUCGACAUGGCCCGCAUGCAAUUGCAACUUAGUGAAUGGGCAUGCAACUGA